rnacentral:lncRNA from 1 species
UCGCCGCCUGUAGUCAGCCUCCUAAGCCUGCCUCCUUUGGUCCUCGGCACCUCCUCCUUGGCUCAACUAGGGGCCGCCCCGCACCUCCAGCCCCGGCUGGCCCGCUGGGAGCUGCAGAAAUUCGCUGUCUCCCUCUAUCCCACCUGGGAGAUGAGGAAACUGGGGUCCAUAGAAGUCUAAGGACUUGUCCAAGGUCACAGAGUGACAAAACCAGUACAAGAACUUACUCUCCUGUGUUCUUUCCACCACAUCGACAACCUUUGCUAAGAAGUUGUUACAGUGACCUUCUUCCAUGGAACUCCCGUAUUCCUUCUGGGUAGAGAUUGGAGCAGCUAGGUGGUGCAGUGGACAGAGUGCUGGGCCUGAAGAUGAGUCUUCCUGAGUUCCAAUCCAGCCUCAGCCACUUACUGUGUGAUACUGGUCAAGUCACUUAACCCCAAUUGCCUGAAAAAUAAAUAAAUAAAGGGUAGAGAUCA